UUAAGUUAAUAAGGGCGCACGGUGGAUGCCUUGGCACUAGAAGCCGAUGAAGGACGUGACUAACGACGAAAUGCUUUGGGGAGCUGUAAGUGAGCAAUGAUCCAGAGAUGUCCGAAUGGGGGAACCCGGCAGGUAAUGCCUGUCACUCAUUACUGUUAAGGUAAUGUAGAGGAAGACGCAGUGAACUGAAACAUCUAAGUAGCUGCAGGAAGAGAAAGCAAAAGCGAUUGCCUUAGUAGCGGCGAGCGAAACGGCAAGAGGGCAAACCGAAGAGUUUACUCUUCGGGGUUGUAGGACUGCAACGUGGACUUAAAGAUUAUAGAAGAACUACCUGGGAAGGUAGGCCAAAGAGAGUAAUAGCCUCGUAUUCGAAAUAGUCUUUAUACCUAGCAGUAUCCUGAGUACGGCGAGACACGAGAAAUCUCGUCGGAAUCUGGGAGGACCAUCUCCCAACCCUAAAUACUCUCUAGUGACCGAUAGUGAACCAGUACCGUGAGGGAAAGGUGAAAAGCACCCCGGGAGGGGAGUGAAAUAGAACCUGAAACCGUGUGCCUACAACAAGUUCGAGCCCGUUAAUGGGUGAGAGCGUGCCUUUUGUAGAAUGAACCGGCGAGUUACGAUAUGAUGCGAGGUUAAGUUGAAGAGACGGAGCCGUAGGGAAACCGAGUCUUAAUAGGGCGCAUUAGUAUCAUGUCGUAGACCCGAAACCAUGUGACCUACCCAUGAGCAGGUUGAAGGUGAGGUAAAACUCACUGGAGGACCGAACCAGGGCACGUUGAAAAGUGCUUGGAUGACUUGUGGGUAGCGGAGAAAUUCCAAACGAACUUGGAGAUAGCUGGUUCUCUCCGAAAUAGCUUUAGGGCUAGCGUCGAUGUUAAGUCUCUUGGAGGUAGAGCACUGUUUGGGUGAGGGGUCCAUCCCGGAUUACCAAUCUCAGAUAAACUCCGAAUGCCAACGAGAUAUAAUCGGCAGUCAGACUGCGAGUGCUAAGAUCCGUAGUCGAAAGGGAAACAGCCCAGACCACCAGCUAAGGUCCCAAAGUACAUGUUAAGUGGAAAAGGAUGUGGGGUUGCACAGACAACUAGGAUGUUAGCUUAGAAGCAGCUAUUCAUUCAAAGAGUGCGUAAUAGCUCACUAGUCGAGUGACCCUGCGCCGAAAAUGUACCGGGGCUAAAACAUAUUACCGAAGCUGUGGAUACCUUUAUAGGUAUGGUAGGAGAGCGUUCUAUGUGCGAAGAAGGUGUACCGUGAGGAGUGCUGGAGCGCAUAGAAGUGAGAAUGCCGGUAUGAGUAGCGAAAGACAGGUGAGAAUCCUGUCCACCGUAAGACUAAGGUUUCCAGGGGAAGGCUCGUCCGCCCUGGGUUAGUCGGGACCUAAGGAGAGACCGAAAGGUGUAUCCGAUGGACAACAGGUUGAUAUUCCUGUACUAGAGUAUAUAGUGAUGGAGGGACGCAGUAGGCUAACUAAACCAGACGAUUGGAAGUGUCUGGCCAAGCAGUGAGGUGUGAUAUGAGUCAAAUGCUUAUAUCUAUAACAUUGAGCUGUGAUGGGGAGCGAAGUUUAGUAGCGAAGUUAGUGAUGUCACACUGCCGAGAAAAGCUUCUAGCGUUAAUUAUACUCUACCCGUACCGCAAACCGACACAGGUAGUCGAGGCGAGUAGCCUCAGGUGAGCGAGAGAACUCUCGUUAAGGAACUCGGCAAAAUGGCCCCGUAACUUCGGGAGAAGGGGCGCUGACUUAUGGUCAGCCGCAGUGAAUAGGCCCAAGCAACUGUUUAUCAAAAACACAGCUCUCUGCUAAAUCGUAAGAUGAUGUAUAGGGGGUGACGCCUGCCCGGUGCUGGAAGGUUAAGAGGAGUGCUUAGCAAUAGCGAAGGUAUGAAUUGAAGCCCCAGUAAACGGCGGCCGUAACUAUAACGGUCCUAAGGUAGCGAAAUUCCUUGUCGGGUAAGUUCC
rnacentral:rRNA from 1 species